CUCUAAGGUGCCACAAGUACUCCUUGUUAUUUUAGAUCUGUACAAAACGCUGUUGCUGCUGCUGCUUCGCCACCACCUUCCCAACCCUGAUUGAUUCAUACUGUGUCUUCACUACCCACACCUCUGCCUGUCCCCAGCCCGGCUGUAAGUUCUGCCCCCUGCCCCUCCUACAGCCCCAGGGGUUGUUCUCCCUCCCAUCCCUGGGGCUGAAGAGAGGGAGCGGGAGGAGCUUCCAGGGAUCAGAGAGAUGAGGAGCCAGGGGCUCGGUAGAUGGGAGUCCUCCAAGGUCAUAGAGACUGGGGCCCAUGAGGCUAGAGAGGCUGAUUUCCUGUUCCCCCCUCUGCUGCGUGUCUCAGGGACACAGGCUGAGCCGGGAUCCCGCCCACACCCCGAGCCAGGGUCGGAUUCUCUCCCCCGGGACGGAGCCCGGUGGGAAAGUGAAGAUCGGGGCCUCGUCACCAGCAUCGAUAAAUGUCACCUGCCCCCGGUCACAGUCCAGACAAACCCAGAUCCUGCUGGGGACCCGGCUCAGGGGCAGGGGGGUCACAGGGGAGGUGAGAGCCUGGAACUUACCCCCCCAGCACCACUGCACAGCCCAGAUCCCCCCCUCAGGGCUACGGCGGAUCUCUUCCUUCCUCCUCACAGACUCUCUGGCCACUCCCACAGCCCAGCCUCCCCCACCCCCCACCUCCACCUCCCACCAAUGUCUCCCCGAGGUGAAUCCCUCACAGCCCAGCACACACAGCAUAUUGUUAAAUCUCUCAGGGUUGCUGGGCAGUUGCUGCCGUGUGUCUCCCCAGCUCACACUUUUCCCAUCCUCAGACAGGACAAGUUGGGGAUGAGCCGUGUCUGGAUCCAGAGUCACAUUCACUGGGGGAAGAGAGAGAAUCAGAGCGUGAGAGGCAGAGCUUGGCCCCGGGGGAGGCUGGGACCAUUUCUCACACUCCCCAGCAGCCCUGUUCUGGCUGGGAUAGGCCUGGAUCCCAGGGAGCUGCCUCUGGUAG
rnacentral:lncRNA from 1 species